rnacentral:rRNA from 1 species
GACGGAGGAUGCAAGUGUUAUCCGGAAUCACUGGGCGUAAAGCGUCUGUAGGUGGUUUAGUAAGUCAACUGUUAAAUCUUGAGGCUCAACCUCAAAAUCGCAGUCGAAACUAUUAGGCUAGAGUAUAGUAGGGGUAAAGGGAAUUUCCAGUGGAGCGGUGAAAUGCGUAGAGAUUGGAAAGAACACCGAUGGCGAAGGCACUUUACUGGGCUAUUACUAACACUCAGAGACGAAAGCUAGGGUAGCAAAUGGG